CCUACGGGGGGCAGCAGUGGGGGAUAUUGCACAAUGGGGGGAACCCUGAUGCAGCGACGCCGCGUGGGUGAAGGAGGGUUUCGGCGCGUAAAGCCCUAUCGGCAGGGAAGAAGGAGGACGGUACCUGACGAAGAAGCCCCGGCGAACGACGGGCCAGCAGCCGCGGUAAUACGUAGGGGGCAAGCGUUAUCCGGAUUUACUGGGUGUAAAGGGGGCGCAGACGGCAGCGCAAGCCAGGAGUGAAAGCCCGGGGCCCAACCCCGGGACUGCUCUUGGAACUGGGCGGCUGGAGUGCAGGAGGGGCAGGCGGAAUUCCUGGUGUAGCGGUGAAAUGCGUAGAUAUCAGGAGGAACACCGGUGGCGAAGGCGGCCUGCUGGACUGCGACUGACGUUGAGGCCCGAAAGCGUGGGGAGCAAACAGGAUUAGAUACCCUGGUAGUC
rnacentral:rRNA from 1 species